rnacentral:snRNA from 1 species
GCCCGGGCGGAGCGGCCGUCG